AGAGCGAACGCUGGCGGCAGGCCUAACACAUGCAAGUCGAACGGACCCUUCGGGGUUAGUGGCGGACGGGUGAGUAACACGUGGGAACGUGCCUUUAGGUUCGGAAUAGCUCCUGGAAACGGGUGGUAAUGCCGAAUGUGCCCUUCGGGGGAAAGAUUUAUCGCCUUUAGAGCGGCCCGCGUCUGAUUAGCUUGUUGGUGAGGUAAUGGCUCACCAAGGCUACGAUCAGUAGCUGGUCUGAGAGGAUGACCAGCCACAUUGGGACUGAGACACGGCCCAAACUCCUACGGGAGGCAGCAGGUGGGGAAUCUUGCGCAAGUGGGCGAAAGCCUGACGCAGCCAUGCCGCGUGUAUGAUGAAGGUCUUAGGUAUUAGUAAAAUUACUUACGACGGUAGAAGAUAAUGACUGUAGCCGGAAGAGAACGACCCG
rnacentral:rRNA from 1 species